GUCCUUCGCAUCGGGACUUCCAUCUCGGUAGGCUCCAGCUCGGAGACCCUGUUCUGGUUUGACCGGUGGGCCGGAGACUCCCCCUUCGCCGCGCGCUUCCCUGACCUCUUCUCCAUCACGGUUGACCCUUUAGUCUCAGUGGAGAGGGCCCUUAUUGACUUAGGGCGCCUCGCUUUCCGGAGACCUUUUGGCCCCCCGGAAUCCGCCGCUUGGCGUGAGUUGCUAGAUUGCGUGGCUCUCCAUGAGCCUGUGGUGGACGGUGGCCCGGAUCAGGUUAGAUGGCGACUCGAGCCUUCGGGCCAAUUUUCCACCAAGUCCCUGUACCAGGCCAUCGCCCCAUCGUCCCUCCACCCCCUUGCCACGGUGUGGUCCAUCCGCCUACCUCUGAAAAUCCGGAUCUUCAUGUGGCAGUGGAUUCGCGGUCGGAUCCCGUCUGGCGUUGAGGUUCGCAAACGCAAUGGUCCGGGCUCUGGCCUUUGCCCGCUUUGCGCCACCCCCGAAGACUCGAAUCACAUCUUCUUUUCCUGUGUGUCCGCGCAAUUCGUGUGGAGCUGUUUCCGCGAGGUGGUGGAUGGAAAUUGGUGCCACACCAACUUCCCCGACCUGUAUACGGAGCUCCAGGCCUCCCCCCUGGCGUCUCGCCACAUUAGGUGGCUUGAGAUUGGGGUCAUCGCUUGGACCCUCUGGAUGAUCCGUAAUAAGAUCGUGAUCCAGCGUGCUCCUCUUCGACGGGCUACUGACGCUAUCUUCAAACCGUCUGGUUUCUUGCAGCUCUGGCGGCCGCUUAGCCGCCCUGAUGACCGCGACGCCAUCUCUGCCUUCAUCGCCGACCUCCGCUCGAUUGCCGUCCGUCUCUCCCCGCCGCCCCCGCCGCCUCCGCCGGAUCCCGACUAG
rnacentral:rRNA from 1 species